AACGUAGGUUCCGAGCGUUAUCCGGAUUUACUGGGCGUAAAGCGCGUUCAGGCGGUUUGGCAAGUCGGGCAUGAAAUCUCUCGGCUCAACCGGGAGAGGUUGUCCGAUACUGCUGGACUUGAGGGCAGUAGAGGGUGGUGGAAUUCCGGGUGUAGUGGUGAAAUGCGUAGAUAUCCGGAGGAACACCAGUGGCGAAAGCGGCCACCUGGACUGCUCCUGACGCUGAAACGCGAAAGCUAGGGGAGCGAACGGG
rnacentral:rRNA from 1 species